GAGUUUGAUCCUGGCUCAGGAUAAACGCUGGCGGCGCACAUAAGACAUGCAAGUCGAACGAACUUAAUACCUUGCUUGCAAGGUAAGCGGUUAGUGGCGGACUGGUGAGUAACACGUAAGAAAUCUGCCUAUCAGAGGGGAAUAACAGUGAGAAAUCACUGCUAAUACCGCAUAUGCCAUAGUUAUCGCAUGAUAAUAGUGGGAAAGAAGCAAUUCGCUGAUAGAUGAGCUUGCGGCUGAUUAGCUAGUUGGUGGGGUAACGGCCUACCAAGGCGACGAUCAGUAGCCGGCCUGAGAGGGUGAACGGCCACAUUGGGACUGAGACACGGCCCAAACUCCUACGGGAGGCAGCAGUGGGGAAUAUUGCACAAUGGGGGAAACCCUGAUGCAGCGACGCCGCGUGAGUGAAGAAGUAUUUCGGUAUGUAAAGCUCUAUCAGCAGGGAAGAAAAUGACGGUACCUGACUAAGAAAGCCCCGGCUAACUACGUGCCAGCAGCCGCGGUAAUACGUAGGGGGCAAGCGUUAUCCGGAUUUACUGGUGUAAAGGGAGCGUAGACGGCAGCGCAAGUCUGAGUGAAAUCCCAUGGCUUACCCAUGAAACUGCUUUGGAAACUGUGCAGCUGGAGUGCAGGAGAGGUAAGCGGAAUCCUAGUGUAGCGGUUGAAAUGCGUAGAUUAUCAGAAGGAACACCGGUGGCCGAGGCGGCCUGCUGGGCUUUUACUGACGCUGAGGCUCGAAGCGUGGGUAGCAAACAGGAUUAGAUACCCUGGUAGUCCACGCGGUAAACGAUGAUUACUAGGUGUGGGUGGACUGACCCCAUCCGUGCCGGAGUUAACACAAUAAGUAAUCCACCUGGGGAGUACGGCCGCAAGGUUGAAACUCAAAGGAAUUGACGGGGGCCCGCACAAGCAGUGGAGUAUGUGGUUUAAUUCGACGCAACGCGAAGAACCUUACCAGGUCUUGACAUCGAGUGACGGACAUAGAGAUAUGUCUUUCCUUCGGGACACGAAGACAGGUGGUGCAUGGUUGUCGUCAGCUCGUGUCGUGAGAUGUUGGGUUAAGUCCCGCAACGAGCGCAACCCUUACCAUUAGUUGCUACGCAAGAGCACUCUAAUGGGACUGCCGUUGACAAAACGGAGGAAGGUGGGGAUGACGUCAAAUCAUCAUGCCCCUUAUGACCUGGGCGACACACGUACUACAAUGGCGGUCAACAGAGGGAGGCAAAGCCGCGAGGCAGAGCAAACCCCUAAAAGCCGUCUCAGUUCGGAUUGCAGGCUGCAACUCGCCUGCAUGAAGUCGGAAUUGCUAGUAAUCGCGGAUCAGCAUGCCGCGGUGAAUACGUUCCCGGGCCUUGUACACACCGCCCGUCACACCAUGAGAGCCGGUAACACCCGAAGUCAAUAGUCUAACCGCAAGGAGGACAUUGCCGAAGGUGGGAUUGGUAAUUGGGGUGAAGUCGUAACAAGGUAGCCGU
rnacentral:rRNA from 2 species